GACGAACGCUGGCGGCGCGCUUAACACAUGCAAGUCGAGCGAGAACCAGCCCUUCGGGGCUGGGGAGAGCGGCGAACGGGUGAGUAACACGUGGGUAAUCAACCCUCGGUACUGGGAUAGCCCGGGGAAACCCGGAUUAAUACCGGAUGGCCCUUCGAAUCCUCGGAUUUGAAGGAAAAGGUAGCUUCGGCCUCCGACCGAGGACGAGCCCGCGGCGGAUUAGCUUGUUGGUGGGGUAACGGCCUACCAAGGCGACGAUCCGUAGCUGGUCUGAGAGGAGGAUCAGCCACACUGGGACUGAGACGCGGCCCAGACUGGUACGGAAGGGAGCAGUGGGGAAUCUUGCGGUAAUGCGGGAAACCGUGACGCAGCGACGCCGGGUGGGGGAAGAAGGCCUUCGGGUUGUAAACCUCUUUCAGGAGGGACGAAGCUACUCGGGUUAAUAGCCCAGAGGGUGACGGUACCUCCAGAAGAAGCCCCGGCUAACUACGUGCCAGCAGCCGCAGUAA
rnacentral:rRNA from 1 species